UACAUCUUCCUUACUUAACUAUGCCAAGGAGGCCUCGCAGCUCUCGCUUCCGCAGAACCCAUCACCAAAACUUCGUAUUCAACUCAACCAUGAAUCCAAGCUUCUCUCAAAUCACCCUACCGUCGAUCUAUCUGUACCCUGUGCCUGGUCUUCCUCCCAACUCGACCCCAAUUGCACCUUUGAACCCGAAUCUUGCAUCGUGGGUCGAAAUGGCUUUGCAGGGACAAUCCUUCGUGAUAAAUGCACAAAUGGAGGAAAGAGAGGUGAUGUUAAUCAUCCACAUCCCAGAGUAGCUAGCCCAUCUAGCAUCAAAAGGGAUACGGAGGGUGAUGGGUCUUUACAAUGGCCAUGUAUGGAUAUCGAUGGUGAUGCAUCCACCGAUGAACUUCAUGGCACCGAUACUGUCGUUCUUUCACAUCCCAACUUGGGAGAUGCCAACCAUCAGCUUCCAGCAACAACCACCCCCAAUGAUGGUGCAUAUCUAUCCUCUAGUUACCAGAACAGUUAGGACAUAGACCCAUUAUUUCACCAUUGGCAGAUCAACGGCUGAAACUCGAGGGAGGGGACGUCGGACCAGAAUCUAGGCUCGAUGGGGUUGAUGAUGGAGAGUCCACGAUCAACUCUUCCUAAUAACUUAGGUUCGUCAUCUCAGGUACCCUCCAUCGUAAACUCAGCUUCAUUGAGACCAAUAAGUACCACAACAUGGGAAAAAGAAAAGGCAUUAGAGAUAAUGGGGGAAUCCCAGAUGGAAAUAGUUAUAUUAAAAGAUAUAAAAGUUAAUAUGCCAAGAAAUUCAUCCUUAUCUACCCCCAUAACUUAGUAAAAAGUUUCCUUGACAUUCGUUGCCCAUUCAAUCUGCAGAUAGGGAAUUAUGUGCUAGUCAUGAACCCGAUGAUGUCAAACCUGAAUAUUCCCUUGAACAAAUCCCCAGGCGAGGCUCCACUGAUAACCCUCCCNNNNNNNNNNNNNNNNNNNNNNNNNNNNNNNNNNNNNNNNNNNNNNNNNNNNNNNNNNNNNNNNNNNNNNNNACUAAUGAACCCGAAUUUAGGAGGAACUUUCGUUCUCUUGUGGAUUGACACUAAACACCUCAUAUGGCCCUCCGAUAGAUGAAAAUGCAGGAUUACUUGGUGCUCAAGACAAGCUAAUUGAACCAGGAUAGAUCAUCUACACAAUGGAAGUCACCAAAGAUAUAAUGUGGCAAGCUUGACGCUCACUACGAUGACGAUAGUUGUCAUCAGCGGCAGUAGGUAGGAUUUCCACCAAGGAGAUUAAAAAAUAAAUUAAAAAAAAACAAUAAAUAGUGUUAGUAAUUGAUGGAUAUGAGUGUGUGGAACCCUCGCUUCGCCUGUAUCGUCUUCAUCUUUUUCCCUGAACCAUCCCUAUUCAUCAUCUUCCACAUACUUCAACCUGUAAAAUACCAGUCACAUAACCACUAUAUUUUCUAAAAUAUCACAUCACCAUAGCCACAACAAGCUAAAAAAGUUAAUUAAUUUGAUUCUGAGAAUUUAAAAUAGGACUGUCUUCUGGAAACUGCUAAGGAAUAAUGAAUGAUAGCUAGCAAGUAUUCAUUGGUGGUACAUGGUGAAACAAAUAGAUCAAUUCAAAGCAUAUAAAUAUAUAUAUAUGUGUGUGUGUGCGCGCGCGCGCGUGUGUAUGUGUAUUCGACACAAACUGCAGGAAAAAACUUAAAGAUGAACUCACAAGAAGAUAAGAGGAAAAAUUCAAAAAAUAUCACAGAAAGAUAGAGAAGCCAAAACUCACAUUGAGAAAUUUAAGAUUUUGGGGAAGAACCAAGAAGAAGGGGAUGAUGGGGUGGACAUGGUUUUUUCUUUCUUCUUUCUAGUUCUGUUCUUUUAUUUUUUAGUUAAAUUUGUCAACUUAUUUUCUUUCGAAGUACAGGUUAUUAUUCAGUUCAAG
rnacentral:lncRNA from 1 species